AGAAUUAGUUCUGGGAGAAGGGCACUGUUUCAGCUGCAGGCCAUAAAAAGCAGAACUUAGACUAAUCAGAAGUGGAUUUAUUAUAAUCUACAAAUUAAUGGGUACACUUGAAACUGAAAAAGAAAAAGGUGUGAAGAAUUCAGAAAACAGGAAGUUUCUCAUUUGUGAUUAGAUCUGCUACACAUUUGGGAGCCAUGGGGAGAGCAGCUGCGACCUGACAGCAGCUGGGAUCAGGUUUAUAAUGAAGUUGUGGGAGGAAGCAGAGGUGGGAAGUGCCAUAAAGCAGCAUGGUGUGUUUCUCCUGUGAGAAUUCAUGACAGCAAGAGAUACCUUAGAGAUGCGCAUCCAGGAUCUGGUGUGUUUCUCCUGUGAGAAUUCACGACAGCAAGAGAUACCUUAGAGCUAAGGGAAGAACUAUUGCAGAGGGGUAGAAGUGAAAUCUUCACAUGAAGAAUCCAUUAGCCAAACCGGUCCGUGCUCCAGGAGCAGCUUCAGAGUGCUCAACUUACAGAAUUACCAUCAAUAAAAUGAAAAUGGAAUUCCUCAGGCCUGUGAACACUUGCUUUCCUGCCAGAGGUACACGGCAGUUCACAAGAGCACUAGCAGGAGAUUCUGGAUAUAAAGAACAAUUGUGUCAGUAGCAGAUGUAAUCAAAGGAAUCAUUCUCCGGUUUCAUGUUCACCUUAUCACCAAUUCUAUCGGGGUUAAGCGUGGAAGGAUAUAAAUAUCAUACGUGGGGAAAACAGCAUCUCUGCUUGCAGACCAGCUGAAUUAAAAACCACAGGGAGUUUAGGUGGUCCAGAUGAAAAGMGUUAUGGUGAGGGGUGAAAACCAUACUGAGAAUUGUGGCCCUGAGUUKGA